CCCUGGCUCUGGCUGGAAUAGAAGCACACAGAGAGGCAGCUUGUGAGGCUCCUGGGCUAGAGAGGACCAGGUGUGUAGUUUCUGCACCAGGAGCGGGUGGGGCCUAUGACCAAGGUAAUUAGCCUGUCCCCAGGUCCCUGGGUGGGGCAAAUGUGACUUGUCAAAGCCAGCCAGCAGAGGAAAGCAAAGCUGGUAGACAGCCCCAGUGGCUCCCAGGUCUCUGUGAUUACAAGCUCUCACUGUUAUAGUAAGGAACACCUAGAAUCCUCCCAUACCGAAGGCUGUAAAACAGGACUUGGCUUGGCUUUCAUCUUGCCAGGCUGCAAGACUGCUUACAGGAGAGUUCCUCUUUCAUCUCCCUUGCCUUUAAUUGGCAGGUCUGAGCCCAGAGAGCCACCUCCAGUCUGAGCCCAAGGAGCCCGACUCCAGUCGACCUCCCUGGCCUCGCCCUGUUUACGUCACCUCACGGGUCUCUGCCCCACCCUGGAGCAGACAGCUGAGCAAGGCCUGAGCUGGGCAGAAAAGUAUAGAGAAACAACUCACUAGAGGGCCAGGGAGUAGGUGGGGCUUGUGGGCAUGGCUGGGGUAAUUAGUCUGUUUCCUGGUCCCUCAGAUGUUACUUGGGGGUAGAUAGGGUUCAUGGAUCUUGGAAGGAGGGUGCUUGUGGCUCAUGUUCAGGAACUCAAGUGGGGCACCGUUCAAUGAUAACUCCAACAAGAGACUGAAGACCAGCUCACUGAAGCUCAUCGUGGAGAAGCAAGUUCACUGGACUUACUUACAGAGAGUGGGUGAGGCCUUACUGACCUGAGUGUGGGUAGCCCCAGAGCAGUCACACUGGAAAGUCUCUACCUG
rnacentral:lncRNA from 1 species